CUCGAAGUCAAUUCCCUCCUCAGUUGUCACCCGUCAACAACAUCAGCUGAUAUUUUCCAGAGAUAGCUCAGGUAUCCAGGCAAGUGCACAGCUGAAAGCAACUGCUGUUAACAAGUUAUGGAGAAGAUGACACGAUAUGAACAGGUU